ACCUAGACCAUUCUAAUCUUACAUAGGGUCAAGUUAAGCUAGGUUAUGCUUGGUUUAGGGUCAAGAUUAGCUAGGUUAGGUUUGGUAGGGUCAAGAUUAGCUAGGUUACACUUGGGUAGGUCAAGAUUAGCUAGGUUAAGGUUGGUUUGGGUCAAGAUUAGCUAGGUUAAGGUUGGUUUGGGUCAAGAUUAGCUUGGUUAAGGUUGGUUUGGGUCAAGAUUAGCUAGGUUAGACUUGGUUUGGGUCAAGAUUAGCUAGGUUAAGGUUGGUUUGGGUCAAGAUUAGCUAGGUUAGACUUGGGUAGGGUCAAGAUUAGCUAGGUUAGACUUGGUUUGGGUCAAGAUCAGCUAGGUUAUGCUUGAAUGAGGUCAAGGUCAGCUAGGUUAUGCUUGAAUGAGGUCAAGAUUAGCUAGGUUAGGCUUGUUUAGGUCAAGGUCAGCUAGGUUAAGGUUGCUUUAGGUCAAGAUUAGCUAAGUUAAGGUUGGAUUAGGUCAAGAUUAGCUAGGUUAGGCUUGGUUAGGUCAAGGUCAGCUAGGUUAGGUUUGUUCCAUAAUGUCCAUAACACUGCUAGGCUUGACACUGGUGGCUUGACCCUGACCUCACAAUUUUUCCAUGACCUGAUAUAUAGUUGAAUCUAUAUGAUGUUAAGGAUGUUUAUUGAGUAUACUAACAGUGCUCUUCCUCCUCCUCCUCCUCCUCUUCUUCUUCUUCUUCUUCUUCUUCUUCUUCUUUCCCUUUCUUCUUUCAAAUUCUUCCUCCUUUCUCUAAAUAUCUCUUCCCUUCUCUCUCCUCCUCCUCCUCCUCCUCCUCCUCCCUUCUUUCAAAUUCUUCCUCUAUAUCAAUUUCUAUCAUUCUUUCCCUCUCUUGAAAUAUCUCUUCCUCCUCCUCCUCCUCCUCCUCCCAUCUUUCAAAUUCUUCCUCUUGUUCAAUCUCUAUCAUUCUUUCCCUCUCUCAAAAUAUCUCAUCCAUUUUCCUCCUCUUCCUCCUCCUCCUCCUCCUCUUCCG